GACGAACGCUGGCGGCGCGCUUAAUACAUGCAAGUCGAGCGAGAACCAGGGCUUCGGCUCUGGGGACAGCGGCGAACGGGUGAGUAACACGUGGGUAAUCAACCCUCGACACCGGGAUAGCCCAGGGAAACUUGGAUUAAUACCGGAUGCCCCGUCUGGCCUUCGGGCCGGCCGGAAAAGGGUAGCUUCGGCCUCUGGUCGGGGACGAGCCCGCGGCGGAUUAGCUUGUUGGUGAGGUAAAGGCUCACCAAGGCGACGAUCCGUAGCUGGUCUGAGAGGACGAGCAGCCACACUGGGACUGAGACACGGCCCAGACUCCUACGGGAGGCAGCAGUAGGGAAUCUUGCGCAAUGGGCGAAAGCCUGACGCAGCGACGCCGCGUGAGGGAAGAAGGCCUUCGGGUUGUAAACCUCUUUCAGGAGGGACGAAGCCACUCGGGUUAAUAGCCUAGAGGGUGACGGUACCUCCAGAAGAAGCCCCGGCUAACUACGUGCCAGCAGCCGCGGUAA
rnacentral:rRNA from 1 species